rnacentral:lncRNA from 1 species
UCAACUACCACAGUUGCUGUGACCGACCUUCUGGGGGCACCGAGCUCCUCCACUUCUGCUCCAGAGGUCCAAGACCUCUAAUUUUGUACUUUUUCUUUGUUACAAUUUUUUUUUCUCUUUCUCUUGUACUUAAGAAUUAUUCAAUCAAUGAAAUCGGAUUUCUCUUUACAGAGAGCUCCUUUUUUCCCUUCUACUUCCUUUUUUCUUUUUUUUUCUUGCAAUGAUUUGCAUUGUGAUGCUCUUGUUUCCUGACAAUAGUGCCCUACCGAAGCUCUUCCCCUACUGCAGGGGAUUCUUUUAAAGUCUAUGAUCCGGGA